GUGGGGAAUCUUGCGCAAUGGGCGAAAGCCUGACGCAGCCAUGCCGCGUGGAUGAUGAAGGUCUUAGGAUUGUAAAAUCCUUUCACAGGUGAAGAUAAUGACUGUAGCCGGAGAAGAAGCCCCGGCUAACUUCGUGCCAGCAGCCGCGGUAAUACGAAGGGGGCUAGCGUUGCUCGGAUUUACUGGGCGUAAAGGGCGCGUAGGCGGACAUUUAAGUCAGGGGUGAAAUCCCGGGGCUCAACCUCGGAACUGCCUUUGAUCCUGGAUGUCUUGAGUACGGGAGAGGUGUGUGGAACUCCGAGUGUAGAGGUGAAAUUCGUAGAUAUUCGGAAGAACACCAGUGGCGAAGGCGACUCACUGACCCGUUACUGACGCUGAGGCGCGAAAGCGUGGGGAGCAAACAGGAUUAGAUACCCGUGUAGUCC
rnacentral:rRNA from 1 species